rnacentral:siRNA from 1 species
CGAGGGACAAGUGUCUCAACGA